AUUAAUUUGAUGCAGCGAGGACAACAUUAUCAAGGCGUCACAUGUUCUAGAUAACCGUAGAGAUACGGUUUCCCGCCUUGGGCGGGUUCACAGGUGGUGCAUGGUUGUUGUCAGCUCGUGUCGUGAGAUCAUGGGGUAAGUCCCGCAACGAGCGCAACCCUCGUUCCAUGUUGCCAGCAGGUGGUGGUGGGGAAUCAUGGGAGACUGCCGGGGUCAAAUCGGAGGAAGGGGAGGAGGAGGUCAAAUCAUCACGCCCCCUAUGUCUUGGGCUUCACGCAUGCUACAAUGGCCGGUACAAUGGGUUGAGAUACUUUGAGGUGGAGAAAUCCCAAAAAGCCGGUCUCAGUUUGGAUUGGGGUAGGCAACUCGACCCCUCGAAGUAGGAGUCGUUAGUAAUAACAGAUCAGGAAGAGGGCGGUGAAGAUUUCCCGGGCUUUUACACACCCCCCAUAAUGUCACGAAAGUCGGUAACACCAAAAAAACGGUACAGUUACCUCUUUG
rnacentral:rRNA from 1 species